ACCUAAUAAGAUUAAGUGAAUACCCAAAAGAGUGGUCAUUUUCUUUCUAUCUUUCCA
rnacentral:antisense_RNA from 1 species